AGCAGCCGCGGUAAUUCCAGCUCCAAUGGCGUAUAUUAAAGUUGUUGCAGUUAAAAAGCUCGUAGUUGAAUUUCGAGAUCAAUUUGUGGGUCGUGCCUCGGUACGUACUGGCAUUAUUGAUUUCUCCCUUCUGAAGAACCGCGAUGUCAUUAAUUUGGUGUCGUGGGGAAUCAGGACUGUUACUUUGAAAAAAUUAGAGUGUUUAAAGCAGGCACACGCUUGAAUACAUUAGCAUGGAAUAAUGAAAUAGGACGUUUGAUUCUAUUUUGUUGGUUUCUAGGAUCGACGUAAUGAUUAAUAGGGAUAGUUGGGGGCAUUAGUAUUCAAUUGUCAGAGGUGAAAUUCUUGGAUUUAUUGAAGACUAACUACUGCGAAAGCAUUUGCCAAGGAUGUUUUCAUUAAUCAAGAACGAAAGUUAGGGGAUCGAAGACGAUCAGAUACCGUCGUAGUCUUAACCAUAAACUAUGCCGACUAGGGAUCGGAUGAUGUUAAUUUAAUGACUCA
rnacentral:rRNA from 1 species